CCCGCUCGGAUGACGCCGCCGCCGCCGCCGGCUCCUUCGCUCACUUCUCACGCCUGGAGCCCUUUCCGCCCCUGCUCGGGCCCACCCGUUGUGCCUCCCUGACUGGCUGCUGGGGCUCGAGCUCAGACUUGGGCUGUCCCGUGAUUGCCUUCACCUAACACCAUUCCAGCCGUAGGAGCCAUCAUCAGCCUUUCAGGUCCGGAACUUCUCCCGAACUCAACUUCGGCACACUGCUACCCCGCUCAGCAGACACUCGCUUUCCAUCCUUGCAGAGUGAUCUACAAGAUCUAAUGACUCCUGGCGAAAAGGACCUCCAGUUCUAGAAUAACACGGUUGGACGUAUGUUGCUGGUGUUAGGAGCCGUAGAGUGGGUUCCGACUCACAGGGACGUUAUGUGAGAGUUCUGAUUGUUCUCAACAGCUCUUACCGUUUCAUUUACCUUGCUACUGUUUUAUUUCUAUCUCCUUGGCCCCUUGCAGUAUUAGCUUCUGAACUUCUGACUGUAAAAGGUAAUAGAUUCUAUACCAGGCGCUCUUUGGAAACCCUAUGGGGCAGUUCUGCUCCGUCCUUUAGGGUCGCUAUGAGUCAGAAUCAACUGGGCGGCGACGGGUUUUUUUUUGUUAGUUUUUUUAAUCGUUACUUAAAACACAAGCAAUUAUCCACUGCUUAGUGUGUAUAAAUUAAGUUACAGGCUUAAGAAGUAACAAGUGAAAGAAUUUCCUGACCUCAACAUACACUACUGGUGAAAUGUAUCUCUUGAAAUCGUAACCAACAUUAAACGCAUUGCCAUCAAGUGGAUUCCGACUCAUCAUGAUCCUAUAGGGCAGAGUACAGUUGCCCUAGAAGGCUUCCAAGGCUGUAAUCCCUAUGGAAGGGGACUGCCACAUCUUUGUACCAGAGGAGCCUCUGGUGGGCUCCAGCCACCAACCUUACGCUUGGCAGCCAGCACUACACCUCCCUGCUACCACGUGGUAAAUGUGAAGGCACUUGUAGCAUGGAGGAAUGGACACUGCACUGGGAACUGGAUAAACUAGGUGUGCAGCUUCCAAUUCAUAUCCAUGUAACUUAACGCCACUGGACUUUAUUUUCCUUAUUUGCAAAUGAUUCUUUGGUCUUUUCCAGCUGUUAAACUGUAUAAUAAACUCUCUACAGGCGAUGCCAAAUAAAUGAUAGGAAUUUACAUAGGAUUUUGGGAAAAGGACCAAUUCCAACUGGUGUUUUCAGGGACCAUUUCCUGGGGAGCUACGAUGUGAAUUCUGUUUUGACUGAUAGCUUUGGAUAGGUGGAAAGAAAAAGGACAGAUGUUAAAAUUUUAAAGACAACACCUUAUGUAUACUAUUGUCAAAGUAAACAAGAGGAAGACAUUAUUCUUUUUCAGUGAUUUGAAAACUUUCACCUAUCUAUAGCCUUAAAUAAGAAAUGACAAUUCUCUGACUUUACAGGGCCUUCAAGGCUAAGCUUUUCCUCCAAUGUGGAAAAAAAAAAAAAAUCAAACUAGGGAUGUUUCUGCUUCUCCCUUCUUCUAACAGUACGCUUUCUAGAGACAGUGCAGUUGCAGAAACGUCUCCCUUCUUCAUGACUGCGUGUAUACUUCAAUUAAAGGAGCUUAGGAAGUUCAUAAUUGAGAACUUUUUUGCUCUAGUUAAAAUGCUUGAGAAAGUCAAGAUGUGUGUGGUUAGAUUAAGCAAUUCAACUGAUGCCAAGAAAAGCGAUCAUUUGUAGAAAGUACAGGAACUUUGUGGAUGAAAGUUAAAUAUAGUACUUAUAAGAAGUUCACAGGGGAGUUAGUGGAAGGUGGAAAACUUAUGGGAUAUUCUGAUUAAAUGUGAUUAAAAAGCUAGACCUCAGGCUAACAUCCUUAUCGUGAAAGACACUGCUGACAAAUUAAUGGAACACAUCUUACAUACUUUAUCUCUUACUCCAAAACCUAGCACUGAGAGUAAAAUGGGCCUUACCUGACUUUAAAAAAAAAAAAAAAAAUUUUUUUUUUUUACCUGACUGUAUGAAUCAGAAAAGAUUAUGUUACCGUGUACUCCCAAAUAUCUCCAAAAUCGCCAUAGCUUAACACAACAAAAGUUCGUCACUUGCUUAUGUUUUACGUGGAUUAGACUCACUCUGUUCAAGUUACUCCAGGAACCAGAGUGACAGAGGCUCCACCAUUUUGUAAAUCGACACCUGAAAUGAAGCAGCUCAGCCUCUGUGGCAGGGGAAGAAAGAGACUCAAGAAUCCCCACGAACUUUUCAGUCUUGGUGCAAACUGAAAGGCUGGUGGUUUGCUUAGAGCCCACCCAGAGGCACCAUGAGUCAGAAUCAACUCGGGUGGCAGUGUAUUUUUAGGAGUCCCUGGGUGGAGCAAAUCGUUAAGUGUUGGGACUGUGAGCCAAAAGAUUGACAGUUGGAAUACAUUCAGAGGCACCUUGGAAGACAAGCCUGGCGAUCUGCUUCCAAAAUAUCACAGUCCUGAAAAACCUUUGACACACAUGAGGUCACCUUGAGUCAGAAUUGACUCAAUGACAGCUAACAACUGCUUGGACUAGAAACAGAUUUCCGCUCACAUUUUAUUGGCCAGAACUAGUAACAUUAGCAAUUAGUGAACUAGUGAACAAUACUGAUGUCAACCGUCUUGACCCACCAAGCAGCUCCUACCCAGUGCAGCUCCUGGAUGCUGUGAAAAAAUUCUUUUUCUUCCAUACACUGGCUUUCUUGAGUGACUUAAAACCAAAAGAGAGAGAAGGAAACCCAAGACACAGAGAAGAAACUAGUCUACAGGACUGUCUACGCAAACUACAGCCUCAUCCACCCUGAGACCAGAAGAACUAGAUGGUACCCAGCUACCACUACAGAUGGCUGUGAUCAGGGCCACAAUAGAUGGUUCCUGAUAGAACGGGAGAAAAAUGUGGAACAGAACCUCAAAUUCUUAAAAAAUCCAGAACUACUGGAUCGGUUGAGAGUAGAGGGCUCCCCAAGACUACUGCCCUGAUAUAUUCUUUAAACCUUGAAUAGAAACUAUCCUCGGGAUCACCUUUCAACUAUAUAACAGACUGGCUUACAAAGCAUAUUACCUCAAUGAGAUUUGUGCCUCGGCCUUGAAUCUAGGAACAUCCAGAUUCAUCCUGAAAACUAACAAAGAAUAGAUAAUUCUGGUGGAAACUGAGAACUGAGAUGGAAAUUCCUCUGAAAAACGACGCUGGAAGAUCCCAGGAGGAAAGCACAGAUGAAGAGUACAAAAUAUUUAAGUCAUGUUAUGAUUCAUCCAAACUGACUUUCUGGACAUUUUAGUUUUUUCCUAUUUGAAGCAAGGCACGAGAAUGGUUUUUGUGGGGCAUAAGAGGGUAGACAGUAAAGACAUCUCUUAUCUCACACAGUUCUUAGAAACAGUUUUUUAGUAAAAAAAUUUAGAAGAACUGCCAAAUCACACCCAUGCAAGAAAAUUUAAUUAUAAUUUUAGACUAAAUCAAGAUUUGGAAACCCAUGCAGUACCCAUCUGCUGAGUCAUUAGCAUUUUACACUCCACAAAAGCAAACUAUUUAAAUGCGUAUUGAAUAACAUACUAAAGUAGGCUAUAAUUUACGUAAAUUUGAAAAACCAUCCUGAUCAAUCUGAAAUACCAAGGUUUAUGUGUUACAUCCAGGAGUAGAUAUUUUCUAAGGAUGUCUAGUCUGUCUGUAGAAAAUUUUUAUUUUAUCACUUUCUUAAACACAUUUCAUAGGUCAUCCUUGCAGGGUCAGAAUUGACUCUGAUUCCUUAAGGAUAAUGACGACUGCUGCAUAAGGGAUGAGAAUGAGAAAAAGGAUAGCUGUAAAUGAACCCUCUUGUCACAAUAUUCUGUUUAGGAUACUGUUAACCCUGUUAGCAAGCAGAACUUUAUUUGGAUGUUGAUUUUAAAGAGGCCUAUCAUACUUUCAGAAUAAAAUCUAAAGCA